GACGAACGCUGGCGGCGGGCUUAACACAUGCAAGUCGAACGGAAAGGCCCUGCUUCUGUGGGGUGCUCGAGUGGCGAACGGGUGAGUAACACGUGAGUAACCUGCCCUUGACUUUGGGAUAACUUCAGGAAACUGGGGCUAACACCGGAUAGGAGCUCCUGCUGCGUGGUGGGGGUCGGGAAGUUUCGGCGGUGGGGGAUGGACUCGCUGCUUAUCAGCUUGUUGGUGGGGUGGUGGCUUGCCAAGGCGUUGACGGGUAGCCGGCCUGAGAGGGUGACCGGCCCAUCUGGGACGGAGAUACGGCCCCGACUCCCACGGGGGGAAGCAGUGUGGAAUGUUGCGCGAUGGGCGGACGCCUCAUGCAGCAACUCCGCGGGCGGGAUGACGGCCUUCUGGCUGUCAACCGCUUGCGGCGGUGACGAAGCGUGCGUGACGGUACUGGGUAAAGGAGCACCGGCUAACUACGUG
rnacentral:rRNA from 1 species